AUAUUACUGAUGUCCUUAUAGGAAGGGCAAUCAAGAUUAUGAUGCAGACAGAGGGCUGACCAUGUAAGGACACAGCAAAAAGGCAACCAUCUGUAAGCCAAAGAGAGAGGCCUCAGAAGAAACCGAACCUGCUGACAUCUCGAUCUUAAACUUCUAGCUUCCAGGAAUGUCAGACGCCCACAAAGACACAACAGAAGUGGUGACCACACACAAUGGAGAUGAAGCGUCGUGCGGUGGAGGGACCGCAAGCUGAGCCGAGGGAUGGGCAAGAGGCAGGGGAGCCGCGGGCCCUGGGCACAGGGGGACGGGCCGGCGCCCAGGUGAAGAGCGUGCAAGCAGGCCACAGGGCCCCGGCCGGACGCACCUGCUGCCCCUCACAGCCUGCCCUGCGCUCUGGUCCUGCCUGGAAGCAAAUGGUUCAAAAUCAAGAUGGCUUGAAGGAAGCCAAGACAGAAAAUACCAAGAACUGAGUCCCUAAAAUUGUGUUCAGUGAAGUUGAAGACCAGAGGUUGAGACUUGAGCAAAAUGUUUGUUCCCACGAGGAUGAUGUAACGUCCAUUGGGGCUCCCCAGAGGAGGAGACACUUAUUAGAAGGAAAAGGGUUCUUGCGAUGACGGAGGCCGCGUCCCAAGGCCUGUCACCUGCACGCCGGAGGCCCAGCAAGGCUCCCCGCAGGCCCCGAUGACUGCUUGCUGUCCCCUCGCACCGCCCAGGCCAUCUGCUCGACCCCGUCUCCCAGCGCAGCCCUAAUCGCUUCCAGGAACACGCACCGACACACAAUAGGGAUUCAACAAACGGCUGCCCCCCCCCCCCGCCCCGGGAAGAUGGCACGCCAAGGUAACCACCGCGCUCCUCUCGGUUACCUAGAGUGUUAAGGCUGAACAAGACUUUUGAGUGAAGCCUUCUCGUUUAAAGGUGGGGAAACCGAGGUCCCUGGAGAGGUAAGAGACUCAACUCAGAAACUUGACUCAGAGCUGGAAAUAAGCCCGGAUGAAUUAUGCCAUGGUUGAAUACCAACCACUGGAUGAUAAUGUUCUUAUUACUCAUUUCUGGGGUGUUGGACAUUUUUCAUUGGUUAAAACUAGGAAAGGUCUCACUUCCACAAGAUGAUUUUUCUUCUUCCUUUGCUGUUUCUCCUCUUCUUCCCAGUGCUUUCCACUAUUCUCAUCUCAGAAACACUUUGGCCAACUCGUCCGCCAUCUCCAUCACCGCUCCAUUGCCCCCUCAGCGCAGUCAGGACAGGACUCCAUCACACACGGCAGAGGCGCUGUGAUGAAGGUGCUGUGUCCAUUCCUACUGAACAGAUGGAUUUCGUGGCAGGGUCAUACAACCAGGCCCACUGCCCCUCUAAAAGUUGACAAUGAUGGAUUGAAGCAUCUGACAUUCAGACCUUCUUCCAGACUUUUCUUUCCCUUGAGAAGGAACCUUUGCUAGACAACAUCUGUCAGGACUCUUGAAGCACCCUACGUGUCUUUCCUCACCAACAAAAUGUUUAAGGAACAUCAAUAAGUAAAACGUCCAAAUCAUUUUCUGGAAGAAUCUGCCCAUGACAGCAAAAGGGCCUUUACAUCCAAAGGCGCUGGUGAAGUAGUACGAAGCUAGAGAAGUUAGAACCACUCUACCUUGAAAGGCAUCAGAUGCCCGAAGCUCUUUCCCUGGCUAGGAAAAGCCAAGCACAGAGAGUAUUCCCAGCCUCUGAAGUCACCCUGAGGACCUCCCAGCUCCUACCUCAGUCCUUUGGCCUGAGGUUCUUCCCUCCUUGUCUUGCCCUCCUAUAUGACAUCACAAUGACUGCAUCAGUUUGCCUGGAAAGGAUCCCAUCUUCCCUCAGUGACCACUUGCCACCAACCACUGGCCUAGAUACUGGUGACCAACCACAUCACCAUCCUUAUUUCCCUUUUUGAAGAAUUGCAUUUGAAUUACAUAACAGGAGAAUGCUUGAAAAUUGUGUUAUGAAACUCUCUCUGCUCGUCACACCCCACCGGAGGGAAUUCGAGGGUGUUUGCUCACAGUAUCUGUUUUCAUAACAGCUUCUGAUGAAUACAGAUAAUCAAAAAAAAUUGCCAGGUUUAUGUGUGAAUCUACUGGGCAUCAAACCCUCAUCUUGGUCCCAGUUCAAGGAUCAUUUUCUAACAUUCUUAUAUGUACUGAAUAUAUUGCCAAGAAAUACAAAAACCCAGUCUACUGUGUCCAGGUUGAGCCGAAAUGCACUUAAAAAGUGUUUGUGAUAAGAUUUCAUUAACGAACCUCCCUACCUGGCACACACGUUCUCGAAUACACUCUACUCCCAGGAAUCUCUUAAAACUUGUUCAGAUCGAACAAUACAAAGACCUCGGAGCAGUCUGUGAUUUUUAAGGGAAGUUUUCGAAACGGAAUCUACCAGUUGGGCGUUUUUGUCAUUGGUUUCAAGAGGAAUUUUUGGAGACUGUCCAGAGAGGAUAAUCGUUUAUGAGCACGAUGAUCGCAGGCUCCGUGGCGCUUCAGCUUUCUGGAGGGCGCAGUGAAUAUGUAGAGCCCUUGAAAUAAACCCUCAGAGCACUGGCGCACAUCGCGUGGGACUCUUCCCUGAGACUGGUUUAUUCAAAGCAGAAAAUGUUAGGCAAAGAUGAAGAACUGUCUUCAGGGAAGACAUAUUUCACAUUCUUGUAGGCCUAAUGACAUAAAAUUGAAUAAAUGAGUAUUGCCGCUAAAUGAAAAGUAUAAAUCUCUUUCCCUCUUGCUAGCCCAUUUCCCUCAAAUAUUCUGCUUUAGAGCCUGUGCUAAUUUUUCUGUAGACAAAGGACCACUGGGGAGAAAUUUAUAUUUAAAAUGAACUCCUAUGGAUUAGAAUUCUUCAAGAAAGCUACUAUUCAGUGACAUUUACGGGGAUGAGAAACCAAUCUAGGCCAUUCGAACUCUAACAAUGAUGUUCCUGGAAAGGGUGUCAUAGGUCAAAACGAUGGAAGUGGGAACUAAUUUGUGGGUGUGUGUGUUAAGGUUCUGAUGCUCAGACUCACUAGAAAUGGCCCUUGGCGACGUAUUUAACCAACUACGGAAUGUUACCCUCGUGUAGAGCUCGCAAAGGGAAAGGCAGCGUAGUUGGGUGAGUGCGAGGCCUCUGAGCAGAUAGUCCGCAAUGACCUCUGGCCCAUGACUCAGGAAGUAUCCGAGCAGCUGUGCUUUGCCCAGUUCACUCCCAGAGAGCGUUGUGUGCAAUGCCUCUCUCCGCUCCAGUUUGGAGAAGAGGUAUAGCUGAUCAGACCACACAAUAUGCCCAGAUCCAGAGAAAUAGGGGGCUGCGGCCUUGCAAAACCAGGGAGAAGCCGUUCGUGGGAUGAGCAGCCCUCAGCAGGAGGCGAAGGGGGCCCCUCUGGAAAUGGGAUUGAGGGACCCUGCUUCAAAGGCACCUUGAGAUAGAAAUUAGAACUAAAAAAAUAAUAAUAAAAAAUAAAGAAAUUAGAACUAUUCCAUAUCCCAUGUGGCAAGAUCAGCUCAGAAGGGAAGUCCAAACAGAACAAGAACAGAAGCCGUUCUUCAUGGGCCCUAAGGAUCUUGCCGAUUCCUUCUUGAAAAGGGACAGAACAGCAUUUGUUUGUUGUAUGUAGCUCGGCUUAAAAUCACUGCGUGUGGUUUCCAUUAGAUCGAGUGGGUUCAAGCAUCUUCAGUUAAUUCUUUUGCCAUCCUCCUUGGGUCCUAGCACAACCCCUAGAGACGAAGAUAUUGGGGUUAAACGAACUCUAUUUGUCGCUGGUCUGGCACGCUCCAGAUUCUGACUCAGUAUCAUUCCUUACAAAAUGCGACUUUAGGGUCUUGCUGAUGUCUGGGGGCACUAUUACGUUCAAAUGGGUACUGUAAAGAUUUAAGUGCCUAUAAAUCAACUUAAUGCAGCAUAAU